rnacentral:rRNA from 1 species
AACGAACGCUGGCGGCAGGCCUAACACAUGCAAGUCGAGCGCGCCUUCGGGUGAGCGGCGGACGGGUUAGUAACGCGUGGGAACGUGCCCUUCUCUACGGAAUAGCCUCUGGAAACGGAGAGUAAUACCGUAUACGCCCUCAGGGGGAAAGAUUUAUCGGAGAAGGAUCAGCCCGCGUUAGAUUAGGUAGUUGGUGGGGUAACGGCCUACCAAGCCUACGAUCUAUAGCUGGUUUUAGAGGAUGAUCAGCCACACUGGGACUGAGACACGGCCCAGACUCCUACGGGAGGCAGCAGUAGGGAAUCUUGGACAAUGGGGGCAACCCUGAUCCAGCCAUGCCGCGUGAGUGAAGAAGGCCCUAGGGUCGUAAAGCUCUUUCGCCUGUGAUGAUAAUGACAGUAGCAGGUAAAGAAACCCCGGCUAACUCCGUG